rnacentral:tRNA from 1 species
GGUGGCUCAGUGGUAGAGCGCUUGCCUUGCAUGCAUAAGGCCCUGGGUUCUAUUCCUUAGCACCA